CAGGCCUAACACAUGCAAGUCGAACGGUAGUAGCAAUACUAUAGUGGCAAACGGGUGCGUAACGCGUAAGCAACCUGCCUCAAACUGGGGGAUAGCCCGGCGAAAGCUGGGGUAAACCCGCACGGUCCUAUGGAGUCACCUGGCUUUUUAGGUAAACAUUCAUGGGUUUGAGAGGGGCUUGCGUCUGAUUAGCUAGUUGGUUGGGGUAACGGCUCACCAAGGCGAUGAUCAGUAGGGGUUCUGAGAGGAUUGGCCCCCACAUGGGUACUGAGAUACGGACCCAACUCCUACGGGAGGCAGCAGUAGGGAAUAUUGGGCAAUGGAGGCAACUCUGACCCAGCCAUGCCGCGUGCAGGAUGAAGGCGCUCAGCGUUGUAAACUGCUUUUGACGGGGAAGAACGGCAGGCCUGCGGGCCUGUGUGACGGUAUCCGCAGAAUAAGCACCGGCUAACUCCGUGCCAGCAGCCGCGGUAAU
rnacentral:rRNA from 1 species